GUUCACUUGCGUGACGAUAAAUGAGUUUUGAUAGAGAUAUCUGAGAAUUUCUGAUGAGUACAAACAUCUCUGAUGUGCAC